rnacentral:rRNA from 1 species
UACGUAGGGUGCGAGCGUUAAUCGGAAUUACUGGGCGUAAAGCGUGCGCAGGCGGUUCGCCAAGUCAGGUGUGAAAUCCCCGGGCUUAACCUGGGAAUUGCGCUUGAAACUAGCGGGCUUGAGUGCGGCAGAGGGGGGUGGAAUUCCACGUGUAGCAGUGAAAUGCGUAGAGAUGUGGAGGAACACCGAUGGCGAAGGCAGCCCCCUGGGUCGACACUGACGCUGAUGCGCGAAAGCCAGGGGAGCGAACGGG